rnacentral:rRNA from 1 species
CCUACGGGUGGCAGCAGUGGGGAAUAUUGGGCAAUGGGCGCAAGCCUGACCCAGCAACGCCGCGUGAAGGAAGAAGGCUUUCGGGUUGUAAACUUCUUUUCUCAGGGACGAAGCAAGCGACGGUACCUGAGGAAUAAGCCACGGCUAACUACGUGCCAGGAGUCGCGGUGAUACGUAGGUGGCAAGCGUUCUCCGGAUUUACUGGGUGUAAAGGGGGUGUAGGCGGGACUGCAAGUCAGAUGUGAAAACCAUGGGCUCAAACCAUGGCCUGCAUUUGAAACUGUAGUUCUUGAGUGUUGGAGAGGCAGGCGGAAUGCGGUGUGUAGCGGUGAAAUGCGUAGAUAUACGGAGGAACACCAGUGGCGAAGGCAGCCUGCUGGAGAAUAACUGACGCUGAGGCGCGAAAGCGUGGGGAGCGAACAGGAUUAGAUACCCCAGUAGUC